CCGUGCUAAGGUAGCAUAAUCACUUGUCUAUUAAUUGUAGACUAGAAUGAAUGAAUAAAUGAGAUUUUCACUGUUUCAUAAAAUAAUCUAAAAUCUUAUAUAAAAGUGAAGAAGCUUUUAUAAUCUCGUUAGACAAGAAGACCCUGUAGAGCUUAAAUUAACUAAAAUAAAUAAUUUUACUAAAUUUUGGCUGGGAUGGCCUAGAUAAUAUAAAACUAUCUUUCCUCUAAGACUAAUAAAUCAUUUUCUUGAUCCAUAAUAAAUGAACAACAACUACUAAGCUACCUCAGGGAUAACAGACAUAUUUUCCUCUAAAGUUCUAAUUAAAAGGAAAGAUUGGCACC
rnacentral:rRNA from 1 species